rnacentral:rRNA from 1 species
UACAGGGGGUGCAACCGUUGCUCGGAAUUAUUGGGCGUAAAGCGCACGUAGGCGGUUUGUUAUGUCGGAUGUGAAAGCCCUUGGCUCAACUGAGGAAGUGCAUCCGAAACUGGCAAGCUAGAGUAUGUAAGAGGGUCGCGGAAUUCCCGGUGUAGAGGUGAAAUUCGUAGAUAUCGGGAGGAACACCGGUGGCGAAGGCGGCGACCUGGGACAAUACUGACGCUGAGGUGCGAAAGCGUGGGGAGCAAACGGG